rnacentral:misc_RNA from 1 species
GUACCCCUCUGUGCCCGUGGCCAAGCCGCGGAUUCAGUUCUGCGUUUUUACGCGGCGCGGUAACCAUCGUUCCCGUUCUUUCGUUGCCUGUCGCGUGUUUUCGAAGAAUCAUCGCGAAAAAUAUCUAUACGUCAUGUAUAUAAUAUAUCUCUUAAGACGUUCCAUGUGCAAACAUAAACCGAUAUACGGAUAAACUGAAAAGAGGAAGUCGAUUUUAAAAGCGUAUGAUGCAGAGAUGCAUAAAAAAUGCUCGAAUUAAUUUCGGUGGUGAUACGAGCAAUUUAUUUCAUAGGAAUACAUGGAAAGCUUAAAAAACAUCAAACUUAUAUUUAUACGAAACUUUUCUUCUGUGAAAAAUACACCAACCAAUCUAACGUCUAUAAACAUUCGAUCUCUACAAAAGCUUGAAAUUGUUCUUCGAUUAUUUUAUAUAACAAUGACAGAUCCUAUUCGAAUAAAAUGGAAGGAAAUUAAUCAAAUUAAAGACUUUUAACGGAUGUUUGCGGGACAGCUGCAGUAACAGAGAAGAAAAUGCCAGAGGCAAACGAAUCGAUCGAUAAUUCAGUUAAGCAGGCAACUUGACCGUAAUUGGUAGUGGGUAUAUUUAAAAAGCGCUUUCUGAAAGUUCGAUGAAAAUCGAUUAAAGACGAGCGGCAGCGCGGCGCGAAAGUUUGAUUAAAAACGCGAACGUCCACGAGUCGGAGCCCCGACUUCGCUAAUAAUUGACGACAGUUAGAAGCAGUUCGUAUUACCCUCGAGAAUAUAUCGAGCACUUCAAUCGUGCGUCUCUUUUCCUAGUUUCUACAGCCCCCUUUUUUCUUUCCUUCUUCCUUUUCUAUGUUCUUUUUCGUCGAAACAAAAAUUUCACGUGGAAGGACGGAUAAAUUUCACGAAUUCCAGCGCAGUUGGAAAAGAAGCAAAGGGAAAAGAGGAACUUGCAAUUACAGUGCGCGAGUAACAGACGACUCGGCGUCAGUUAAAAUAAUUAGUGCGUUCCUAAUGGAAGGAGUAUGAAUUGUUGAUGACAACUCAUCGCAGCAGCGGAUCAAUGUCCCUUUUUGUAAACGGACGAAUAGGACAUUGAAAUUUUUGCAAUUUCCAAAGUAGCCAAUUUGAACAGAGUCGGUGCAUUUGGCUAUGUAGCUUCGUGAUUCAGUGAGAAAUUAUAGCAGAAAUGCUAAAUCCAGUUUAUUUUAUCGAAAAAGUUUAUAGACCAAAAUUUAUUAAUGAUUAAGUAUAAAUUCUUUAACCAUAAUGAAACAGUGGAAAAUACAUUUUUCUAUAUCUAAGUACGUAACGUCGUUACGUAAUUUAUUUUACAUUAAAUAAUUUUGAAUAGACGUAAUGAAUUUAAUUAUAAGUCUUCGUUAGUAAGUUAUUACUAGCGAUUAGAAUUUAGUAUUAUUGUAUUUAUAGAAAUAGAAUUGUGCCAAUUCCUCAAUAACAAUCGCGUAUAAUGGAUUUCUUCUAUGUGUAUCCAACAUCGCUUUGG